UACGGAGGAUCCAAGCGUUAUCCGGAUUUAUUGGGUUUAAAGGGUGCGUAGGCGGCCUAUUAAGUCAGAGGUGAAAGACGGUAGCUCAACUAUCGCAGUGCCUUUGAUACUGAUGGGCUUGAAUGAACUAGAGGUAGGCGGAAUGAGACAAGUAGCGGUGAAAUGCAUAGAUAUGUCUCAGAACACCGAUUGCGAAGGCAGCUUACUAUGGUUUAUUGACGCUGAGGCACGAAAGCGUGGGGAUCAAACAGG
rnacentral:rRNA from 1 species